GAUUCCCUCAGUAGCUGCGAGCGAACAGGGAAGAGCCCAGCACCCAAUCCCGCGGGCGGGAUCGGACGCCGGGAAAUGUGGUGUUCGGGAGGGUCCCCAAUCCCGAGGUCAUGCGACGCGUCCAAGUCCUUCUUGAACGGGGCCACAGCCCAUAGAGGGUGCCAGGCCCGUAGUGGCCGUCGCUGAUCGCGGGAAGAUCUCUCCUUAGAGUCGGGUUGCUUGAGAGUGCAGCCCUAAGUGGGUGGUAAACUCCAUCUAAGGCUAAAUAUGACCCCAACACCGAUAGCGAACAAGUACCGUGAGGGAAAGUUGAAAAGCACUUUGAAGAAAGAGUUCAAGAGUACGUGAAACCGUUUAGGGGUAAACCUGAGAAACCCGAAAGGUCGAAGGGAGAAAUUCAUCGCGUUUCGACGUCGAGGGCUUGCGAUCGAACGACGGAGGAUGUUUCGGCGUCUUCCCCGUCUUUCGCUCGUCAAGUCGGCGACGAACGCGUGGACUUUUCUCCUGGUAGGACGUCGCGAUCCGUCGGGUCGCGGUCUAACCGUCGCGGUGGAGCGUGGACGUUUUCAGCGUCGACGGACCC
rnacentral:rRNA from 1 species